rnacentral:rRNA from 1 species
UACGUAGGCAGCGAGCGUUGUUCGGAGUUACUGGGCGUAAAGCGUGCGUAGGCGGUGUUCCAAGUCUGUUGUGAAAUCUCCCGGCUUAACCGGGAGGGUGCGGCGGAAACUGGGAUGCUGGAGUGCGGGAGAGGUAAGCGGAAUUCCCGGUGUAGCGGUGAAAUGCGUAGAUAUCUGGAGGAACACCGGUGGCGAAGGCGGCAUCCUGGACCGGUAUUGACGCUGAGGCGCGAAAGCCAGGGGAGCAAAGCGGG